AUGUGGUAUUUGCGGUAUAAGGCAUAGUGACAUUGCCUUCUCUCUCAUCCUACUCUAAUAAGGCUUUUGAUAUCUGGAGCUCAUAGGUGGGAGAUAAAGUAUACAUACUUACAAGACAUUUAUUGUAUAGUCAAACCAUGGAUCCAGAGAAACAAGUCAAUAAGUCAAAUCAAGAUGUGCAUGUGUGGCGAAUGAAUGGUGUAUGGUGAUGAUGGUGAUAACAAUGGUGAAAGUCUAAUUCUACUUUUGCUCUUUUGAGGGGAUACAUACUUUUCUUGCUCUUUUGAAACUUUUUGAGGAGAAUGAGAUGCUCUAUAUGUUCUUUUUCUUUCCUAUCAGGUGGG
rnacentral:lncRNA from 1 species